CCCAGACUCCUACGGGAGGCAGCAGUGGGGAAUAUUGCACAAUGGGGGGAACCCUGAUGCAGCGACGCCGCGUGGGUGAAGGAGCACCUCGGUGCGUAAAGCCCUAUCGGCAGGGAAGAAACAGACGGUACCUGACUAAGAAGCCCCGGCUAACUACGUGCCAGCAGCCGCGGUAAUACGUAGGGGGCAAGCGUUAUCCGGAUUUACUGGGUGUAAAGGGGGCGCAGACGGCAGCGCAAGCCAGGAGUGAAAGCCCGGGGCCCAACCCCGGGACUGCAUUGGAAACUGCGAGGCUGGAGUGUCGGAGAGGCAGGCGGAAUUCCUAGUGUAGCGGUGAAAUGCGUAGAUAUUAGGAGGAACACCAGUGGCGAAGGCGGCCUGCUGGACGAUGACUGACGCUGAGGCUCGAAAGCGUGGGGAGCAAACAGGAUUAGAUACCCGCGUA
rnacentral:rRNA from 1 species